rnacentral:rRNA from 1 species
GGUCUUCGGACGCUGACGAGUGGCGAACGGGUGAGUAAUACAUCGGAACGUGCCCAGUCGUGGGGGAUAACUACUCGAAAGAGUAGCUAAUACCGCAUACGAUCUGAGGAUGAAAGCGGGGGACCUUCGGGCCUCGCGCGAUUGGAGCGGCCGAUGGCAGAUUAGGUAGUUGGUGGGAUAAAAGCUUACCAAGCCGACGAUCUGUAGCUGGUCUGAGAGGACGACCAGCCACACUGGGACUGAGACACGGCCCAGACUCCUACGGGAGGCAGCAGUGGGGAAUUUUGGACAAUGGGCGAAAGCCUGAUCCAGCAAUGCCGCGUGCAGGAUGAAGGCCUUCGGGUUGUAAACUGCUUUUGUACGGAACGAAAAAGCUUCUCCUAAUACGAGAGGCCCAUGACGGUACCGUAAGAAUAAGCACCGGCUAACUACGUGCCAGCAGCCGCGGUAAUACGUAGGGUGCGAGCGUUAAUCGGAAUUACUGGGCGUAAAGCGUGCGCAGGCGGUUAUGUAAGACAGAUGUGAAAUCCCCGGGCUCAACCUGG